rnacentral:lncRNA from 1 species
UCACCAAGCCACUAUGCGUAGCAAGAUUCUGUCAACUUAGGCGUGAACUUGGUAUCUUGGAGCUUGAUAACUGUCACGCCCAAGAUGCGACCCUAUCCUCAAUUUGGCACGAAGGCCUCGUCAGGGAUAGAAGCGCAUCUCGUCAUGUCGCAAGAAUGGAUACCGUUACAAGUACAUGUACUGAAAAGAAGAGAGAUAUAUAUAGAAUUUGGCUUACACUCGCCACGAGCUACAUCAGAGUCACAGUAGUACAAAUACAUAAUCAUCAUGAAGAAGAGCAGGGUCUGACUACGGACGAAAACAAAAGAGAAAAGAAGAACGACGUCCAUCCUUGCUAUCCCAGGCUGCCGGCCUGGAAACCAUCCUAGACCGAUGAAGAAGAAGAAGANAGAAGAAGCAACUCCAAAUGAACAAUCAACGCGCUCGCAUCGAGUAACCUUUACCUGUACCUGCAAUUGGUGUUGUAGUAAUCUGUGAGCCACAGGGGACUCAGCAAUCUCAUUUCCAAAGGUACCAAGACUAGCAAAGCUUAAUGGGUGAGGCAUGGUUAAGUGGUCAGGUUGCAGCAGCGACUAAGCAUAUAUUUGGUGGCUAACUUACGAGUACAAUAAUAAAGAGGGGGAGAUCUAUGCAUAACGGACGUGACUACUCAUGAUCAAAUGAAUGAUCGUGAACACCUACCUACGUCAGGCAUAACCCCACCAUGUCCUCGAUCGGAGAAAGUACUCACGAAAGAGACAGUCACGGUUACGCACACAGUUGGCAUAUUUUAAUUAAGUUAACUUCAAGUUAUCUAGAACCAGUGUUAAACAAGUUUCCACGUUACCACAUAACCGCGGGCACGGCUUUCCGAAAAAUUUAACCCUGCAGGGGUGCUCCAACUAGUCCAUCACAAAUUACCACAAGCCGCAUAGAAAUCCUCGAUCACGACACUCGCNNNNNNNNNNNNNNNNNNNNNNNNNNNNNNNNNNNNNNNNNNNNNNNNNNNNNNNNNNNNNNNNNNNNNNNNNNNNNNNNNNNNNNNNNNNNNNNNNNNNGUAUCUCUGGGCCCACUCGGUAGAACAUCAUCAUGAGCUCAAUGUGACUAAGGAGUUAGUCACACGAUGACGUGCUACGGAACGAGUAAAGAGACUUACUGGUAACGAGAUUGAACAAGGUAUAGGUAUACCGACGAUCGAAUCUCGGGCAAGUUCUAUACCGACAGACAAAGGGAAUCGUAUACGGGAUUGAUUGAAUCCUUGACAUCGUGGUUCAUCCGAUGAGAUCAUCGUGGAGCAAGUGGGAGCCACCAUGGGUAUCCAGACCCCGCUGAUGGUUAUUGGCCAGAGAGGUGUCUCGCUCAUGUAUGCCUGUCUCCCGAACCCGUAGGGUCUACACACUUAAGGUUCGAUGACGCUAGGGUUAUAGGGAAUUGUUAUACGAGGUUACUGAAAGUUGUUCGGAGUCCCGGAUGAGAUCCCGGACGUCACGGGGAGCUCCGUAAUGAUCCGGAGGUAAAGAUUGAUAUAUAGGACGGAUGGUUUUGGACACCGGAAGUGUUUCGGGCGUCACCGGUAAUGUACCGGGACCACCGGAGGUGGCCCCGGGGACCACCGAAGGGGGGCAACGACCCCGGGAGGCUAGAUGGCCUAAGUGGGGAAGGGAACCAGCCCCUAGGUGGGCUGGUGCGCCCCCCACCCAGCCCAUGCGCAUCAGAGAAAGGGGGAAGGGGGAAACCCUAGGCGCAGUUGAGGCCCAAGGCCCACCUAGGGUGCGCCCCCCCUUUCCCUGCCCUGGCCGCCGCCCCCCUCCCAUCUGGUGGCUGCCGCACCACCUAGGUGGGGAACCCUAGGGGUGGCGCACCCCCUCCCCCUCCUCCUAUAAAUAUAGAGGGGUUUUGUCCAUUGGAGAACACACUUUGCCCUCUCUCUCGGCGCAGCCCUGCUCUUCUUCCNGCGCGGGAGACGUCACCGGGCUGCACGUGUGUUGAACGCGGAGGUGCCGUUGUUCGGCACUAGAUCGGAAUCGCUGCGAGUACGACUCCAUCAACCGUGUUCUAGCAACGCUUCCGCUUAGCGAUCUUCAAAGGUAUGAAGAUGCUCUUACCCCUCUUUCGUUGCUGGUCUCUCCAUAGGAAGAUCUGAAUAUGCGUAGGAAAAUUUUGAAUUUAUGCUACGUUACCCAACAGUGGCAUCCAACCAGGUUUUCUAUGCGUAGAUUCUAUGCACGAGUAGAACACAAAAGUUGUGGGCGAUGAUUUGUCAAUUUGCUUGCCGCUACUAGUCUUAUUCUUUUCCGGCGGUAUUGUGGUAUGAAGCGGCCCGGACCGACUUUACACGUACACUUACGUGAGACUGGUUCCACCGACAGACAUGCACAUCGUGCAUAAAGGUGGCUAGCGGGUGUCUCUCUCUCCUACUCUAGUCGGAUUGGAUUUGAUGAAAAGGGUCCUUAUGAAGGGUAAAUAGCUUUGGCAUAUAAUCGUUGUGGCUGUCACGUAGGUAAGAAGGCGUUCUUGCUAGAAACCCAAAUCAGCCACGUAAAACUUGCAACAACAAUUAGAGGACGUCUAACUUGUUUUUGCAGGGUUUGACAUGUGAUGUGAUAUGGCCAAAGUUGUGAUGUUGCAUGUAUAAUGUAUGAGAUGAUCAUGUUAUUGUAAUAGGUUUCACGACUUGCAUGUCGAUGAGUAUGACAACCGGCAGGAGCCAUAGGAGUUGUCUUAAUUUAUUGUAUGAGAUGCAACGCCAUGUGCUUACUACUUUUACUUCAUUGCUAACGGUUAGCUAUAGUAGUAGUGAUAGUAGUAGUUGGCGUGACGACUUCACGGAGACACGAUGAUGGAGAUCAUGAUGAUGGAGAUCAUGGUGUCACGCCGGUGACGAUGAUGAUCAUGCGAUGCCUGAAGAUGGAGAUCGAAAGAGCAAAGAUGAUAAUGGCCAUAUCAUGUCACUAUAUGAUUGCAUUGUGAUGUUUAUCAUGUUUUACAUCUUAUUGCUUAGAACGACGGUAGCAUAAUAAGAUGAUCCCUCUUGAAAUUUCGAGAACGUAUUCCCCUAAGUGUGCACCAUUGCGAAGGUUCGUUGUCUCGAAGCACCACGUGAUGAUCGGGUGUGAUAGAAUCUAAGGUUCGCAUACAACGGGUGUAAGCCAGAUUUACACAGGCGAAACACCUAGGUUGACUCGACGAGCUUAGCAUGUACAGACAUGACCUCGAAUACAAGAGACCGAAAGGUCGAACAUGAUUCGUAUGGUUGAAUACGAUCAGCAUGGAGUUGCUCACCAUGGUGACUAGUCCGUCUCACGUGAUGAUCGGACACGGGUUAGUCAACAUGGAUCAUGUAUCACUUAGAUGACUAGAGGGAUGUCGAUUUAAGUGGGAGUUCAUAUUUAAUUUGAUUAAAUGAACUUAAUUGUCAUGAACUUAGUCUAAAAGUUGUCUUUAUAAAUAUUGUAGAUGUCCAACGUCAACCUCAAUUUCAACGCAUUCCUAGAGAAAAACAAGCUGAAAGAUGAUGGUAGCAACUAUGCGGACUGGGUUNNNNNNNNNNNNNNNNNNNNNNNNNNNNNNNNNNNNNNNNNNNNNNNNNNNNNNNNNNNNNNNNNNNNNNNNNNNNNNNNNNNNNNNNNNNNNNNNNNNNCGAGACACCUCUCUGGCCAAUAACCAUCAGCGGGGUCUGGAUACCCAUGGUGGCUCCCACUUGCUCCACGAUGAUCUCAUCGGAUGAACCACGAUGUCAAGGAUUCAAUCAAUCCCGUAUACGAUUCCCUUUGUCUGUCGGUAUAGAACUUGCCCGAGAUUCGAUCGUCGGUAUACCUAUACCUUGUUCAAUCUCGUUACCAGUAAGUCUCUUUACUCGUUCCGUAGCACGUCAUCGUGUGACUAACUCCUUAGUCACAUUGAGCUCAUGAUGAUGUUCUACCGAGUGGGCCCAGAGAUACCUCUCCGUCACACGGAGUGACAAAUCCCGAUCUCGAUUCGUACCAACCCAAUAGAUACUUUCGGAGGUACCCGUAGUGCACCUUUAUAGUCACCCAGUUACGUUGUGACGUUUGAUACACUUAAAGCACUCCUACGGUAUCCGAGAGUUGCACAAUCUCAUGGUCGAAGGAAAAGAUACUUGACAUUAGAAAAUCAUUAGCAUACGAACAAUACGAUCUAGUGCUAGGCUUAGGAUUGGGUCUUGUCCAUCACAUCAUUCUCCCAAUGAUGUGAUCCCAUUAUCAAUGACAUCUAAUGCCCAUGAUCAGGAAACCAUGAUCAUCUAUUGAAUAACGAGCUAGCCAACUAGAGGCUUGCUAGGGACACAUUGUGAUCUAUUUAUUCACACAUGUAUUACUGUUUCCUGUUAAUACAAUUAUAGCAUGAACAAUAGACGAUUAUCAUGAACGAGGAAAUAUGAUAAUAACCAUUUUAUUAUUGCCUCUAGGGCAUAUUUCCAACACCUAUUGCAUAUGGUGGGUGGGUCUAUGCAGUCUCUUCGUCAGUUGUCCCCUCCACCACUCCUUUCUUCUUCCUCAUCUCUCCGCCGCCAUAACUCAUUUUCUUCUCCAUCAUCUCCGACGUUCCCUCUCUUUCCUGCUGCAGCACCUUUGGCAUACGCACUUGGCAAGUGUGCCGCGACGAGACCCCUCUCCAGCAGACGCCCAGCUCUAGGAACUCGAACUGCGUGUUGUAGGUGCUGCAAGCAUAGGUUGCCGAGUUGGAACGCUAGCCACCCCGUGUCGCGAACUGGUUACACCGGUGAGCUGAAAAUGGCGCACGCGACCUGCCGUGCUACAACCAUUGAUACAAUAUGUUGGAACCCGCCGACAGAGGAGCUGCAACCGGCCAAGCCAAGAGCUGGAACCGACGCAUGUUGUGCUGGGCAUCGCCACACGUGCCAUGUUAGAACCAUGUUCUGGCGAUGCUAGAACCGUGUUCCAGAGAUGUUGGAACCAUGUUCUAGCAAUGUUGGAACCGUGUUUUAGCAAUGCUGGAAUGGGGGUCGGUGAUGCUUAAAAGCUUUAGGACAGCGGGCAAAAUGCUGGAACCAUUACCGACAAAAGUUGCAAUAGUCGUCAGAUUUUGCUACCACCGGCAAAGGAUUCUGCUACAUGCUUCAUGGCAGAGCUGCAACCCUGCGACGGCGAUGACUUUUUUUCCACAGUCGUAGUUAUUUUUCGCUACCACUGGUGAUGUAUUUUGCCACAUCCAUUAAAUGUCGUUUAGUAUUGGCCGUCCAUAAUCCCGUGCAACUAGUGCCGACGCCGAGUGCGACCGCGGUUGUGCAUCGUGGUGUUGCAUAAUGAUGCAUCAACGGCUGGAGUUGCAGCCAGUUAGGGCGGAGUUGCAAGCGAAAUUGAUGAGCGGGGAAGUUCUUCGACAAGCAGCGGAGGGCUGCGAGUCGUCGGAGUGUGAGCGCCGACGACCGACGUCUGUUUGCCCUCGCGGAGCUGCACACGGAGGCGUAGGAGCGUGGGGUAGGGUGUGGGGAUUUUUUUCUUUGAUAUGCGAUGGGAGAUAGAGGACGAGUCAAGGAUGAAGGAGAGAGCUAGAUCGGAUGACUGAUCUAUGCCAGAUCGAACGGUUGGGGUUCGAGUGGCCGAAACUUUCAGCUAGUACUGCCCUUUCUCUAUCUAUUCUAACACACCAUGAAGCUUGGUGGAGAGUUCAUCCACUACCUCUAUAAAAGCACGAAGAGGCAGAUCCAACUCACCAUCUCACCUGCCUGAUUACGUCAUCAAUCGUCAAGAAUUAUCAUUAAAAAAUUCAUCCCAGCUAACGAAACCAAUUGAAGCCAAUCCCAUCGGCGAGGAAACCCACCCACACUUCCACGCCCGGGAACCGCUCACAAAAUCACCUCGCUUGAGAACUCAUCCAGGCCUAGCUCNNNNNNNNNNNNNNNNNNNNNNNNNNNNNNNNNNNNNNNNNNNNNNNNNNNNNNNNNNAGCCGCCGUCGCUGCCUCGCGCAACAACCACAACCAUUGCCCUCGCCUCACAUAGCGACGCGUCGCCCGUCGCUCGGCCAACCCGGACAAGCAGGACAAGGGCGCAGGGCAAGGAAAGGACAUGGGCGAUCGCAAUGAACCCUCCUUUCAUGGUAUUUAUCAUUUUUAUGCGAUGAACGCAACCUGUAGGUGCCUCCGUUCAUGAUUUGCAUAUCCAGAAUUUGUUGUCUGGCCAUCUAAGAGAAUUAGCUCACUACGCUAAGGAAUUAGGACAAUUCAGUUACAUGAUCUGACUGUUUAUAGAGGGAUCUAAAAGACUGAUGAUAUGCAAAUAUGAUCUCAAGUCUCAAAGUGCAUGUUGUUCUAUGUUCUUGGGCAUGUACAAAGGCUUAGAUAAACACCACCAAGGUUGAGGACGAAAAAGAUUGCACACACUAACCAUUAUUAUCUUCUUGUGAUAAUUUUAGGCUUGUACGAGGAAACUUGAAGAGGCAAUUUUAGUUGGUGGUGUGCUUUAAUAUUUCAUAUUGUUGUUCGUGUGUUCCUGUUGGAAAUAUGCCCUAGAGGCAAUAAUAAAGUGGUUAUUAUUAUAUUUCCUUGUUCAUGAUAAUUUUCUAUUGUUCAUGCUACAAUUGUAUUAACUGGAAACAGUAAUACAUGUGUGAAUAUAUAGACCACACCAAGUCCCUAGUGAGCCUCUAGUUGACUAGCUCGUUGAUCAAAGAUGGUUAAUGUUUCCUAACCAUAGACAAGUGUUCUCACUUGAGUUCUAGAAUGGUCUGGAAACGAAGAUUGAUAUAUAGGAAGUUGGUAGUUCGUAGUAUCAUUUCCCUAGACCAUGAGAUUGUGCAACUCCCGGAUACCGUAGGAGUGCUUUGGGUGUAUCAAGAAUCACAACGUAACUGGGUGAUUAUAAUGGUGCACUACAGGUAUCUCUGGAAGUGUAUGUUGGGUGGGCACGAAUCGAGAUUGGGAUUUGUCACUCCGUAUGAAGGAGAGGUAUCUCUGGGCCCACUGAGUAAUACAUCAUCCUAUUGAGCUCAGUGUGACUAAGGAGUUAGUCACAGGAUCAUGUGUUACGGAACGAGUAAAAAAACUUGCCUCUAACGAUAUUGAACAAGGUAUGGGGAUACCGACGAUCGGAUUUCGGGCAAGUUAUAUACCGAUAGACAAAGGGAAUUGCAUACGGGAUUGAUUGAAUCCCCGACAUCGUGGUUCAUCCGAUGAGAUCAUCGUGGAACAUGUGGGAGCCAACAUGGAUAUCCAGAUCCCGCUAUUGGUUAUUGACCGGGGAGGUGUCUCGGUCAUGUCUGCAUGGUUCCCGAACUCGUAGGGUCUACACACUUAAGGUUCGAUGACGCUAGAGUUGUAAUGAGAAUAAUAUGUGGUUAUCAAAAGUUGUUCGGAGCCCCGGAUGAGAUCCCAGACGUCCCGAGGAGCUCCGGAAUGGUCAGUAGGUAAAGAUUCAUAUAUAGGAAGUGGAGAUUAGAUCACAGGAAAUGUUUCGAGGAUCAUCGGUAUUGUACCGGGACUACCGGAAGGGUUACGGGGGUUCACCAGCCCCGGAGAGCCACGUGGGCCAAAAGUGGAAGGAAACCAACCCCUAGAUGGGCUGGUGCGUCACCCACCAAGGCCCAAGGAACCUAGGGCUAGCAACCCUAGGGCGUGGAGGUGGCCCACCUCCAACUUGGGAGGCAAGCCACCUCCCACCUGGCCACCGCCCCCUGCUUGGACCGCCGCCCCUCCUAGGGUUACCUAGGGUGGCCGGCCUGCCUUUCCCCUCCCCUAUAUAUACCCAAGGGUUUUGGGGCUGCAACACACAACUUUUCUCUCCCUCUUGGUGCAACCCUACCCUCUCUCUUUCUCCUCCUCCGCGGUGCUUGGCGAAGCCGUGCCGGAGAACCACAUAGCUACACCGCCACCACGCCGACGUGCUGUCGAAGCUCUCCAUCAACUUCCCCUCUCCCCUUGCUGGUUCAAGGUAGAGGAGACAUCAUCGGUUUGCACGUGUGUUGAACGCGGAGGCGUCGUUGUUCGGCGCUUUGGAUCACAUCUACCGCGAUUUGAAUCGCUAUGAGUACGACUCCAUCACCCGCAUUCCUAGUAACGCUUCCGCUUAGCAAUCUUCAAAGGUAUGAAGAUGCUCUACCCCUUGCUCGUUGCUAGCAUCUCCUAGAUUGAUCUUGCUGUUUCGUUGCUAGCAUCUCCUAGAUUGAUCUUGCCGCGCCCGAAGAUGGAGAUCAAAGGCGCAAGAUGAUAAUGGCCAUAUCAUGUCACUAUAUGAUUUGCAUGUGAUGUUUAUCAUGUUGUUCAUCUUAUUGCUUAGAAUGACGGUAGCAAAGAUAAGAUGAUCCCUCGUUAAAUUUCAAGAUAAGUAUUCCCCUAAGUGUGCACCGUUGUGAAGGAUCGUUGUCUUGAAGCACCAUGUGAUGGUCGGGUGUGAUAGAUUCUAACGUUCGCAUACAAUGGGUGUAAGCCAGAUUUACACACACAAAACACUUAGGUUGACUUGACGAGCCUAGCAUGUACAGGAAUGGCCUCAGAAUACGAGAGACCAAAAGGUCGAACAUGAGUCGUAUGGAUGAUACGAUCAACAUGGAGAUGUUCACCAUUGAUGACUAGUCUGUCUCACGUGAUGAUCGGACACGGGCUAGUCGACAUGGAUCAUGUAUCACUUAGAUGACUAGAGGGAUGUCAAUCUAAGUGCGAGUUCAUUAAAUAAUUUGAUUAGAUGAACUUAAUUAUCAUGAACUUAGUCUAACAAUGUCUUUACAGUAUUGUAGAUCCAAUGGCCAAUGCUCCUGUCAACCUCAAUUUCAACACGUUCCUAGAGAAAACCAAGCUGAAAGACGAUGGUAGAAACUAUGUGGACUGAGCUCGUAACUUAAAGCUCAUCCUCAUUGCUUCCAAGAAGGCAUAUGUCCUUGAUGCGUCGCUAGGUGACCCUCCCGUUCCCACGGCAGCCCAGGACGUUCAUAACGCGUGGCAGUCACGAAGUGAUGACUACUCUCUGGUUCAUUGUGGCAUGCUAUACAGUUUAGAACCGGGGCUCAAAAAACGUUUUGAGCAACCUGGAGCAUAUGACAUGUUCGAGGAGCUGAAAUUGGUUUUCCAAGAUCAUGCCCAGAUCAAGAGAUAUGAGGUCUCCGACUAGUUCCUCAGCUGUAAGAUGGAGGAAAAUAGUUCUGUCAGUGAGCACAUACCCAGAAUGUGUGGGUUGCACAACCGUCUGUCUCAGCUGGAAGUUAAUCUUCCGGAUGACGCGGUUAUUGACAGAAUCCUCCAGUCGCUUCCACAUAGCUACAAGAGGUUCGUGAUGAAUUAUAACAUGCAAGGGAUGGAAAAGAACAUUCCCGAGUUAUAUUCAAUGCUGAGAUCAGCGGAGGUGGAAAUCAAGAAGGAACAUCAAGUGUUGAUGGUGAAUAAGACCACUAGUUUAAUAAAAGGCAAGGGUAAAAAGAACUUCAAGAAGGACGGCAAAGAAGUUGCCACGCCCGGUAAAAAGGUUUCCUGGAAGAAGCGCAAGAAUGUCGCAAGCCUGAGACUGAGUGUUGUCAUUGCAAGGGAGCCAGUCACUGGAAGCGAAACUACCCCAAAUACUUAGCGGAUAAGAAGGCCGGAAAUGUCAAAGGUAUAUAUGAUGUACAUGUUAUUGAUGUGUACCUUACCAGCACUCGUAGUAGCUCCUAGGUAUUUGAUACCGGUGUUGUUGCUCACAUUUGCAACUGAAAAACAGGAACUGCAGAAUAAGCAGAGACUGGCAAAGGGCAAUGUGACGAUGCUCGUGGGAAUGGUUCCAAGGUCGAUGUGAUCGUCGUCGGCACGCUACCUCUACAUCUACCUUCGGGAUUAGUUUUAAACCUUAAUAAUUGUUAUUUAGUACUAGCUUUGAGCAUGAACAUUGUAUCUGAAUCUCGUUUGAUGCGAGAUGGCUACUCAUUUAAAUCUUAGAAUAAUGGUUGUUCUAUUUAUAUGAGUGAUAUGUUUUAUGGUCAUGUCCAUCUGGUCAAAGUUUAUUCUUAAUGAAUCUCGAACGUGAUGUUAUGCAUAUUCAUAGUGUGAGUACUAAAAGAUGCAAAAUUAAUAAUGAUAGUCCCACAUACUUGUGGCAUUGCCUCCCUGGUCAUAUCGGCGUCAAACGCAUGAAGAAACUCCAUGCUGACGGACUUUUGGAGUCUCUUGAUAAUGAAUCAUUUGACACGUGCAAGCUGUGCCUCAUGGGUAAGAUGACUAAGACUCUGUUCUCCGGAACAAUGGAGCGAGCAACCAACUUGUUGGAAAUAAUACAUAGCGAUGUAUGCGAUCCAAUGAGCGUUGAGGCUUGCGGUGGCUACCGUUAUGUUCUCACCCUCACUAAUGACUUAAGCAGAUAUGGGUAUGUCUACGUAAUGAAACACAAGUCUGAAACCUUUGAAAGGUUCAAGGAAUUUCAGAGUGAGGUUGAAAAUCAACGUGACAAGAAAAUAAAGUGCCUACGAUCUGAUCAUGGAGGAGAAUAUUUGAGUCACGAGUUUGGCACACACUUAAGAAAAUGUGGAAUUGUUUCACAACUCAUGCUGCCUGGCACACCUCAGUGUAAUGGUGUGUCUGAGCGUCGUAAUCGCACUCUAUUGGAUAUGGUGUAAUCUAUGAUGUCUAUUACUGAUUUAUCGCUAUCAUUUUGGGGAUACGCAUUGGAAACUUCCGCAUUCACUUUAAAUAGGGCACCGUCUAAAUCCGUUGAGAUGACACUGUAUGAAUUAUGCUUUGGGAAGAAACCUAAGCUGUCGUUUCUGAAAGUUUGGGGCUAUGAUGCUUAUGUGAAGAAACUUCAACGUGAGAAGCUCAAACCCAAAGCGAAAAAUGCGUCUUCAUAGGAUACCCUAAGGAAACUAUUGCGUAUACCUUCUAUCUUAGAUUCGAAGGAAAAUCUUUGUUGCCAAGAACGGAUCCUUUCUAGAGAAAGAGUUUCUCUCAAAAGAAGUAAGUGGGAGGAAAAUAGAACUUGAUGAGGUAACUGAAAUCCCUCUUGAACUAGAAAGUAGCGCAGCGUGGGAAAUUGUUCCCGUGGUGCCUGCACCGACUAGAGAGGAAGUUAAUGACGAUGAUCAUGAAACUUCGGAUCAAGUUACUACUGAACCUCUAAGGUCCACAAGGAUAUGUUCCGCACCAGAGUGGUUCGACAACCCAGUCCUAGAAAUAAUGUUGUUAGACAACGGUGAACCUUCGAACUAUGAAGAAGCAAUGGUCGGCCCGGAUUCCAACAAAUGGCUUGAAGCCAUGAAAUUCGAGAUAGGAUCCAUGUAUGAGAACAAAGUAUGGACUUUUGUGGACUUGCCCAAUGAUCAGCAAUCCACAGAAAAUAAAUGGGUCUUUAAGAAGAAUACUGACGCAGAUGGUAAUGUGACCGUCUAUAAGGCUGAGCUUGUCGCUAAGGGUUACCGACAAGUUCAAGGAGUUGACUACGAUGAGACUUUCUCACCCAUAGCGAUGUUGAAGUUCGUCCGAAUCAUGUUAGCAAUUGCCGCAUUUUAUGAUUAUGAGAUCUAGCAAAUGGACGUCAAAACGACAUUCCUUAACAGUUUCCUUAAGGAAGAAUUGUAUAUGAUGCAUCCAGAAGGUUUUGUCGAUCCUAAGAGUGCUGACAAGGUAUGCGAGCUCCAACGCUCCAUCUAUGGGCUGGUGCAAGCAUCUCAAAGUUGGAACAUUCACUUUAAUGAGGUGAUUAAAUCGUUCGGGUUUAUGCAGACUUAUUGAAAAGCCUGCAUUUACAAGAAAGUGAGUGGGAGCUCUGUAGCAUUCCUCAUUUUAUAUGUGGACGACAUAUUGCCGAUGGAAAAUGAUAUAGAACUUUUGGAAAGCGUAAAAGCCUACUUGAAUAAGUAUUUUUCAAUGAAGGACCUUGGGGAAGCUGCUUACAUAUUAGGCAUCAAGAUCUAUAUAGAUAGAUCGAGAUGCCUCAUAGGUCUUUCACAAAACACAUACCUUGACAAGAUAUUGAAGAAGUUCAAUAUGGAUAAGUCUAAGAAGGUGUUAUUGCAUGUAUAGCAAGGUAUGAGAUUGAGUAAGACUCAAUGCCCGACCAAAGCACAAGAUAGAGAAAAGAUGAGUAACAUCCCCUAUGCUUCAGUCGUAGGCUCUAUUAUGUAUGCCAUAGUGUGUACCAGACCUGAUGUGAACCUUGCCAUGAGUUUGGUAGGGAGGUACCAAAGUGAUCCUGGUAUGGAACGCUGGACAACGGUCAAUAAUAUCCUAAAGUACCUGAAAAGGACUAAAGAUAUGUUUCUCGUUUAUGGAGGUGCCGAAGAGCUCGUCGUAAAGGGUUACGCCGAUGAUAGCUUCGACAGAGAUCCGGAUGACUCCAAGUCACAAAUCGGAUACGUGUAUGUUUUGAAUGGUGGGGUAGUCAGCUGGUGCACUUUUAAGCAAGGCGUCGUGGCGGCAUCUACAUGUGAAGCAGAGUACAUAGCUGCUGCAGAAGCAGCGCAUGAAGGGAUCUGGAUGAAGGACUUCAUCACUGACCUAGGAGUAAUUCCCAGUGCGUCGGGCCCGAUGACUCUCUUGUGUGAUAACACUGGAGCUAUUGUCAUAGCCAAGGAGCCCAAGCACAUCAAGCGCUGCUUCAACUCCAUCCGUGAUUACAUUCAGGAAGGAGAUAUAGAUAUUUGUAAAGUACAUGCAGAUCUGAAUGUUGUAGAUCUUUUGAGUAAACCUCUUCCGCGAGCGAAACAUGAUCAACACCAGAACUCUACGGGUGUUCGUUUCAUCACAAUGUAACUAGAUUAUUGACUCCAGUGCAAGUGGGGGACUGUUGGAAAUAUGCCCUAGAGGCAAUAAUAAAGUGGUUAUUAUUAUAUUUCCUUGUUCAUAAUAAUUGUCUAUUGUUCAUGCUACAAUUGUAUUAAGAGGAAACAGUAAUACAUGUGUGAAUAUAUAGACCACACCAAGUCCCUAGUGAGCCUCUAGUUGACUAGAUGGUGGAUCAAUAGAUGGUCAUGGUUUCCUGCUCAUGGACAUUGGAUGUCAUUGAUAAUGGGAUCACAUCAUUAGGAGAAUGAUGUGAUGGACAAGACACAAUCCUAAGCAUAGCACAAGAUCGUGUAGUUUGUCUCCUAAAGCUUUUCUAAUGUCAAUUAUCAUUUCCUUAGACCAUGAGAUUGUGCAACUCCCAGAUACCGUAGGAGUGCUUUGGGUGUAUCAAAAGUCACAACGUAACUGGGUGAUUAUAAAGGUGCACUACAGGUAUCUCCGAAAGUGUCUGUUGGGUGGGCACGAAUCGAGACUGGGAUUUGUGACUCCGUAUGACGGAGAGGUAUCUCUGGGAUCACUCGGUAAUACACCAUCCUGUUGAGCUCAAUGUGACUAAGGAGUUAGUCACACGAUCAUGUGUUACAGAACGAGUAAAAGACUUGCGAGUAACGAUAUUGAACAAGGUAUGAGGAUACCGACGAUAGGGUCUCGGGCAAGUUAUAUACCGAUAGACAAAGGGAAUUGCAUACGGGAUUGAUUGAAUCCCCGACAUCGUGGUUCAUCCGAUGAGAUCAUCGUGGAACAUGUGGGAGACAAUAUGGAUAUCCAGAUCCCCCUGUUGGUUAUUAACCGGAGAGGUGUCUCGGUCAUGUCUGCAUGGUUCCCGAACCCGUAGGGUCUACACACUUAAGGUUCGAUGACGCUAGAAUUGUAAUGAGAAUAGUAUGUGGUUACCGAAAGUUGUUCAGAGUCCCGGGUGAGAUCCCGGAUGUCACGAGGAGCUCCGGAAUGGUCCGGAGGUAAAGAUUCAUAUAUAGGAAGUGGAUAUUAGAUCACCGGAAAUGUUUCAAGGAUCAUCUGUAUUGUACUGGGACCACCAUAAGGGUUUCGAGGGUCCACCGGGAGGGGCCACCAGCCCCGGAGAGCCACGUAGGCCAAAAGUGGAAGGGAACCAGCCGCUAGAUGGGUUGGUGCGCCACCCACCAAGGCCCAAGGCGCCUAGGGCUGGUUACCCUAGGGCGUGGAGGUGGCCCACCUCCAACUUGGGAGGCAAGCCACCUCCCACCUGGCAACCGUCCCCUGCUUGGGCCACCGCCCCUCCCAUAUGGGUGGCCGCCGCCCCUCCUAGGGUUUCCUAGGGUGGCCGGCCUGCCCUUCCCCUCCUCCUAUAUAUAUCCAAUGGUUUUGGGGCUGCAACAUGCAAGUUUUCACUCCCUCUCGGCGCAGCCCUACCCUCUCUCUCCAUCCUCCUCCGCGGUGCUUGGCGAAGCCCUGUCGGAGAACCACAUAGCUCCACCGCCACCACACCGUCGUGCUGCCGGAGCUCUCCACCAACUUCCCCUCUCCGCUUUCUGGUUCAAGGUAGACGAGACGUCACCGGGAUGCACGUGUGUUGAACAUGGAGGCACCGUUUGUCGGCCCUUUGGAUCACAUCUACUGCGAUCUGAAUCGCUACGAGUACGACUCCAUCACCCGCGUUCAUAGUAACGCUUCCGCUUAGCAAUCUUCAAAAGUAUGAAGAUCAUCUACCCCUUGCUCGUUGCUAGCAUUUCCUAGAUUGAUCUUGGUGUUUCGUAGGAAUUUUUUUGAAUUUCUCCCUCGAGCCCCAACAGUUCCUCCAUCAUCGUGUCUUCUUCUAUUAGUUUGAAUUUUCUAGCGCAUGAACUACCAAGUGAAUUUUCCUAGCUCCGAUGGUUGCGCCACUGAGGAUGCUAUCAGCGAAAAUAAAGGCAAUUUGUACUGGGACGUCUUGGCCGAGCUGCAGGACCUCCGCCUCGACGAGCUGUAGAAUCUCCACCUCGCUCUGGUUUUUGUGGUACGGGCCCUUCCCCACUCCAUCAAAUAGUGACUUAUAUUUUGUUCUGCUUUGUUCUUAGACAAGUGUGGUAAAUUGUAUGGUAAAGUGUGGCAUCUACUACCCCUAUAAAGCACGAAGAGACAGAUCCAAAUCCUCAACUCAGCCAUUUGAUUACAUCAUCAAUGAUCAAAAAUCAUUGUUAACGAAAUUCAUCCCAUCGCUAACGAAGAUAAUCCCAUCGCUGAGGAAACCCACCCCCACUUCAAUGCUCAAGAACCGCUCGCAAACUCAGCCACGCCGCCCGACCUCCCCACCCCCGAUGGUCGCUCGCCUCGUCCAGCCACCGGCCCCGCUCGGCCCACUUGCCCCCACUCGUCGCUCGCCUCGCGCCGUCGCCCUUGUCUCACACAGCCUCGUGCAGUCGCCGCCCCCGCCUCGUGCAGCCACCGCCACCACCUUGCGCAGCCUCACGCCGUCCUCUCUGCUCACCCGGACAAGCGGGACAAGGGCACCGUUCAAGGAGAGGACAGGGGCGAUCGCGGUGAACCCUCCGUUCAUGGUACUGUAACGUCCAAGAUGUGGCACUAUCCAUAUUUGGGGAUUAGGUCUUAAUAUGGAUAGAGGCACAUCUUAGCGUUUCGCAAGUACAUAAAUCACCGCAAUACAUUUAUGAAGAGAAGAGUAUAUUGAUUAGCUUACACUCGCCACAAGUUAAGUUACAAGCCACACAACAUUAGUUCAAUCAUCCUAAGACCGGGUCCGGCUACAGACAAGAUAAAUGAUAAAAUGCAAUGACUCUGCCUCGUUAGUCUAGGAAACGAGCAAGGUCCUCUAAUCAUCGGGGUACAUUACGUACAAGCGCCCACUGCCUUCAUCGAAAUCCCAUUGAAGAUCGAUAACCCACAAGUAUAGGGGAUCGCAACAGUUUUCGAGGGUAGAGUAUUCAACCCAAAUUUAUUGAUUCAACUCAAGGGGAAGCGAAAGAAUAUUCUCAAGUAUUAGCAGUUGAGCUGUCAAUUCAACGACACCUAAAAGAUUUAGUAUCAGUAGCAAAGUAGGGUGAUAGCAGCAGUAGCAACAGUAACCAGUAGCAGCAAAGUAACAACAGUAGGAACAGAGUAACAACAGCAGCAGUCACAGCAGUAGCGGCAAAGUAACGUAGCAAGGACCAGUAGAAAAAGACUCGUAGGCAUUGGAUCAGUGAUGGAUGAUUAUGCCGGAUGUGAUUGAUCAUGCAACAGUUAUAACACGGAGAGAUAAGUAAAUAGCUCCAGUUCGUCAAUCUAAUGUAGGCAUGUAUUCCGCAUGUAGUCAUACGUGCUUAGGGAAAAUAACUUGCAUGACAUCUAUUGUCCAUCCCUCCCAUGGCAGCGGGGUCCUAAUGGAAACUACAGGAUAUUAAGGUUCUCCUUUGAAUAAAGAACCGGACCAAUGCAUUAACACUUGGUGAAUACAUGAACUCCUCAUACUAUGGUCAUCUCCGGGAGUGGUUCCGGCUAUUGUCACUCCGGGGUUGCAGGGUCAUAACACAUAGUAGGUGACUACAACUUGCAAGAUAGGAUCUAAAACACACAUAUAUUGGCGACAACAUAAUAGGUUCAGAUCUGAAAUCAUGGCACUCGAGCCCUAGUGACAAGCAUUAAGCAUGGCAAAGUAGUAGCAACAUCAAUCUCAGAACAUAGUGGAUACUAGGGAUCAAUUCCCGUCAAAACUAACUCGAUUACAUGAUAGAUCUCAUCCAACCCAUCACCGUCUAGAAAGCCUACGAAUAGAUUACUCACGAACGGUGAAGAGCAUCAUGGAAUUGGCGAUGAAGGAAGGUUGGUGAUGACGAUGGCGUCAAAGUUUGUUUUCUUGUGCUAAUGAUAUCACGAGUUUCUGUUUAAGUUUUGUGUUGUGAAGUUUUCAAGUUUUGGGUGAUGAUCUCAUGGACAAAGGGAUAAAGAGUGGAAAGAGCUCAAGCUUGGGGAUGCCCAAGGCAUCCCAAGCCAAAUUCAAGGACACCAAAAAGCCUAAGCUGGGGGAUGCCCCGGGAAGACAUCCCCUCUUUCGUCUCCAAUCCAUCGGUAAUAUUACUUGGAGCUAUAUUUUUAUUCACCACAUGAUAUGUGUUUUGCUUGGAGCGUCUUGUAUCAUAGGAGUCCUUUAUUUUUGUUGUGUCACAAUCAUCCUUGCUGCACACCUUUUGAGAGAGACAUGCACUCAUCGUGAAUUUUCUAGAAUACUCAUUGAGCUUCGCUUAUAUCUUUUGAGUUAGGCAAUUUAGCUCAUUGUGCUUCACUUAUAUCUUUUGAUCUAGAUAACUUUUCUCUUUGUGCUUCACUUAGAUCUUUUAGAGCACGGCGGUGUCAUAUUUUGGAGAAAUAAGAACUCUCGAUCUUCACUUAUAUCUUUUUGAGAGUGCUCUCUCUGAGUAACUUGGUAGUUGGCUUGUGUUAUGAAAGUAGUCCGAAAGAUGAUAGGCGCCCAAAGAGGAUACAAUAAAACUUCCAUAUUCAUGUGCAUUGAUUAGAAAGAGAAGUUUGAUUCCUCUCAAAUAGUUUUGAGACAUGGAUUUGGUAAUAUUAAGAGUUAUGCUAGUAGGGUGUUGUGAAUCUAGAAAUACUUGUGUUGAAGUUAGUGAUUCCCGUAACAUGCACGUAUGGUGGACCGCUAUGUUAGGAAGUCGGAGCAUAUUUGAUUUAUUGAUUGUCAUCCUUUGUGUUGCGGUCGGGAUUGCGCGAUGGUUAACACCUACCAACCCUUCCCCUAGGAGUAUGCGUUUAGCACUUUGUUUCGAUUACUAAUAAAAACUUUCGCAAUAAGUAUGUGAGUUCUUCAUGACUAAUGUGAGUCCAUGGUAUAGAUACACUUUCACCUUCCACCAUUGCUAGCCUCUCUAGUGCCGUGCAACUUUCGUCGGUACACAAAACCACAAUAUGCCUUCCUCAAAACAACCACCAUACCUACCUACUAUGGCAUUUUCAUAGCCAUUCCGAGAUAUAUUGCCAUGCAACUCCCACCGUUCGGUCUCAUGACUUGUGUCGUNNNNNNNNNNNNNNNNNNNNNNNNNNNNNNNNNNNNNNNNNNNNNNNNNNNNNNNNNNNNNNNNNNNNNNNNNNNNNNNNNNNNNNNNNNNNNNNNNNNNGUGAUCUCAUCCGGGACUCCGAACAACAUUCGGUAACCAACCAUAUAACUCAAAUACGCAUAAAACAACGUCGAACCUUAAGUGUGCAGACCCUGCGGGUUCGAGAACUAUGUAGACAUGACCCGAGUGACUCCUCGGUCAAUAUCCAAUAGCGGGACCUGGAUGCCCAUAUUGGAUCCUACAUAUUCUACGAAGAUCUUAUCGUUUGAACUUCAGUGCCAAGGAUUCAUAUAAUCCCGUAUGUCAUUCCCUUUGUCCUUCGGUAUGUUACUUGCCCGAGAUUCGAUCGUCAGUAUCCGCAUACCUAUUUCAAUCUCGUUUANCCGGCAAGUCUCUUUACUCAUUCCGUAAUACAAGAUCCCGCAACUUACACUAAGUCACAUUGCUUGCAAGGCUUGUGUGUGAUGUUGUAUUACCGAGUGGGCCCCGAGAUGCCUCUCCGUCACACGGAGUGACAAAUUCCAGUCUCGAUCCAUACUAACUCAACGAACACCUUCGAAGAUACCUGUAGAGCAUCUUUAUAGUCACCCAGUUACGUUGCGACGUUUGAUACACACAAAGCAUUCCUCNNNNNNNNNNNNNNNNNNNNNNNNNNNNNNNNNNNNNNNNNNNNNNNNNNNNNNNNNNNNNNNNNNNNNNNNNNNNNNNNNNNNNNNNNNNNNNNNNNNNACGGUGCCCUAUUUAAAGUGAAUGCUGCAGUUUCUAAUGCGUAUCCCCAAAAUGAUAGCGGUAAGUCGGUAAGAGACAUCAUAGAUCGUACCAUAUCUAAUAAAGUGCGAUUAUGACAUUCACACACCCCAUUACGUUGCGGUGUGCCAAGCGGCGUCAGUUGUGAAACGAUUCCACACUUCCUUAGGUGUGUGCCAAACUCGUGACUCAAAUAUUCUCCUCCACAAUCAGAUCGUAGACAUUUAAUUUUUUCUGUCACGUUGAUUCUCAACCUCACUCUGAAAUUCCUUGAACUUUUCAAACGUCUCAGAUUUGUGCUUCAUCAAGUAGAUAUACCCAUACCUACUCAAAUCAUCGGUGAGAGUGAGAACAUAACGAUAACCACCGCGAGCUUCAACGUUCAUUGGACCACACACAUCAGUAUGUAUUAUUUCCAAUAAGUCGGUUGCUCUCUCCAUUAUUCCUGAGAAUGGAGUCUUAGUCAUCUUGCCCAUGAGGCACAGUUCGCAUGUGUAAAAUGAUUCAAAGUCAAGAGACUCUAAUAGUCCAUCAAUAUGGAGCUUCUUCAUGCGCUUAACGCCGAUAUGACCAAGGCGGCAGUGCCACAAGUAUGUGGGACUGUCAUUAUCAACUUUACAUCUUUUGGUACUCACACUAUGAAUAUGUGUAACAUCACGAUCGAGAUUCAUCAAGAAUAAACCAUUCANNNNNNNNNNNNNNNNNNNNNNNNNNNNNNNNNNNNNNNNNNNNNNNNNNNNNNNNNNNNNNNNNNNNNNNNNNNNNNNNNNNNNNNNNNNNNNNNNNNNAGGUUGACUCGACGAGCUUAGCAUGUACAGACAUGACCUCGAAUACAAGAGACCGAAAGGUCGAACAUGAGUCGUAUGGUUGAAUACGAUCAGCAUGAAGUUGCUCACCAUGGUGACUAGUCCGUCUCACGUGAUGAUCGGACACGGGUUAGUCAACAUGGAUCAUGUAUCACUUAGAUGACUAGAGGGAUGUCGAUUUAAGUGGGAGUUCAUACUUAAUUUGAUUAAAUGAAAUUAAUUGUCAUGAACUUAGUCUAAAAGUUGUCUUUAUAAAUAUUGUAGAUGUCCAACGUCAACCUCAAUUUCAACGCAUUCCUAGAGAAAAACAAGCUGAAAGAUGAUGGUAGCAACUAUGCGGACUGGGUUUGCAACUUGAAGCUCAUCCUCGAAGCAGCUAAAAAGGCUUAUGUCCUUAAUGCGCCGCUAGGUGACCCUCCCGCUCCCGCAGCAGCCCAGGACAUUCUGAACGUCUGGCAAACGCGGAGUGAUGACUACUCUCUGGUCAGGUGUGGCAUGUUAUACAGUUUAGAAACGGGGCUCCAAAGGCGUUUUGAGCAACAUGGGGCAUAUGAGAUGUUCCAGGAGCUACAGCUAGUUUUUCAAGCUCAUGCCCGUGUCGAGAGAUAUGAAGUCUCCGACAAGUUCUUCAGCUGUAAGAUGGAGGAGAACAGUUCUGUCAGUGAGCACAUACUCAAAAUGUCUGGGUUACACGGUCGUCUGACUUCACUUGGAGUCGAACUUCCGGAUGAUGCUAUUAUUGACAGAAUCCUCCAGUCUCUCCCACCAAGCUACAAAGGCUUUGUGCUUAACUACAAUAUGCAAGGGAUGGAGAAGACCAUUCCCGAGUUGUACUCGCUGCUCAACUCUGCAGAAGUAGAAAUCAAGAAAGAGCAUCAAGUCUUGAUGGUCAACAAGACCACUAGUUUCAAGAAAGGCAAGGGUAAGAAGAACUUCAAGAAAGACGGCCAAGCUGUUGCCGCGCCCGGUAAGCCAGAUGCCGGGAAGAAGAAAAAGAACGGACCCAAGCCUGAGACUGAGUGCUUCUAUUGCAAGGGAAAGGGUCACUNNNNNNNNNNNNNNNNNNNNNNNNNNNNNNNNNNNNNNNNNNNNNNNNNNNNNNNNNNNNNNNNNNNNNNNNNNNNNNNNNNNNNNNNNNNNNNNNNNNNUCUCUCCUACUCUAGUCGGAUUGGAUUUGAUGAAAAGGGUCCUUAUGAAGGGUAAAUAGCUUUGGCAUAUAAUCGUUGUGGCUGUCACGUAGGUAAGAAGGCGUUCUUGCUAGAAACCCAAAUCAGCCACGUAAAACUUGCAACAACAAUUAGAGGACGUCUAACUUGUUUUUGCAGGGUUUGACAUGUGAUGUGAUAUGGCCAAAGUUGUGAUGUUGCAUGUAUAAUGUAUGAGAUGAUCAUGUUAUUGUAAUAGGUUUCACGACUUGCAUGUCGAUGAGUAUGACAACCGGCAGGAGCCAUAGGAGUUGUCUUAAUUUAUUGUAUGAGAUGCAACGCCAUGUGCUUACUACUUUUACUUCAUUGCUAACAGUUAGCUAUAGUAGUAGUGAUAGUAGUAGUUGGCGUGACGACAUCACAGAGACACGAUGAUGGAGAUCAUGAUGAUGGAGAUCAUGGUGUCACGCUGGUGACGAUGAUGAUCAUGCGAUGCCUGAAGAUGGAGAUCGAAAGAGCAAAGAUGAUAAUGGCCAUAUCAUGUCACUAUAUGAUUGCAUUGUGAUGUUUAUCAUGUUUUACAUCUUAUUGCUUAAAACGACGGUAGCAUAAUAAGAUGAUCCCUCUUAAAAUUUCAAGAACGUAUUCCCCUAAGUGUGCACCGUUGCGAAGGUUCAUUGUCUCGAAGCACCACGUGAUGAUCGGGUGUGAUAGAUUCUAACAUUCGCAUACAACCGGUGUAAGCCAGAUUUACACACGCGAAACACCUAGGUUGACUCGACGAGCUUAGCAUGUACAGACAUGACCUCGAAUACAAGAGACCGAAAGGUCGAACAUGACUCGUAUGGUUGAAUACGAUCAGCAUGCAGUUGCUCACCAUGGUGACUAGUCCGUCUCACGUGAUGAUCGGACACGGGUUAGUCAACAUGGAUCAUGUAUCACUUAGAUGACUAGAGGGAUGUCGAUUUAAGUGGGAGUUCAUACUUAAUUUGAUUAAAUGAAAUUAAUUGUCAUGAACUUAGUCUAAAAGUUGUCUUUAUAAAUAUUGUAGAUGUCCAACGUCAACCUCAAUUUCAACGCAUUCCUAGAGAAAAACAAGCUGAAAGAUGAUGGUAGCAACUAUGCGGACUGGGUUNNNNNNNNNNNNNNNNNNNNNNNNNNNNNNNNNNNNNNNNNNNNNNNNNNNNNNNNNNNNNNNNNNNNNNNNNNNNNNNNNNNNNNNNNNNNNNNNNNNNAAUACCCAGGAGCUACUACGAGCGCUGGUAAGGUACACAUCAAUAACAUGUAUAUCACAUAUACCUUUAACGUUGCCGGCCUUCUUGUCCGCUAAGUAUUUGGGGCAGUUCCGCUUCCAGUGACCCUUUCCCUUGCAAUAGAAGCACUCAGUCUCAGGCUUGGGUCCGUUCUUUUUCUUCUUCCCGGCAUCUGGCUUACCGGGCGCGGCAACAGCUUGGCCGUCUUUCUUGAAGUUCUUCUUACCCUUGCCUUUCUUGAAACUAGUGGUCUUGUUGACCAUCAAAACUUGAUGCUCUUUCUUGAUUUCUACUUCUGCAGAAUUGAGCACCGAGUACAACUCGGGAAUGGUCUUCUCCAUCCCUUGCAUGUUGUAGUUAAGCACAAAGCCUUUGUAGCUUGGUGGGAGAGACUGGAGGAUUCUGUCAAUUAUAGCAUCAUCCGGAAGUUCGACUCCAAGUGAAGUCAGACGACCGUGUAACCCAGACAUUUUGAGUAUGUGCUCACUGACAGAACUGUUCUCUUCCAUCUUACAGCUAAAGAACUUGUCGGAGACUUCAUAUCUCUCGGCACGGGCAUGAGCUUGAAAAACUAGCUUCAUCUCCUGGAACAUCUCAUAUGCCUCAUGUUGCUCAAAACGCCUUUGGAGCCCCGUUUCUAAACUGUAUAACAUGCUACACCUAACCAGAGAGUAGUCAUCACUCCGCGUUUUCCAGACGUUCAGAAUGUCCUGGGCUGCUGCGGGAGCGGGAGGGUCACCUAGCGGCGCAUCAAGGACAUAAGCCUUUUUAGCUGCUUCAAGGACGAGCUUCAAGUUGCGAACCCAGUCCGCAUAGUUGCUACCAUCAUCUUUCAGCUUGUUUUUCUCUAGGAAUGCGUUGAAAUUGAGGUUGACGUUGGACAUCUACAAUAUUUAUAAAGACAACUUUUAGACUAAGUUCAUGACAAUUAAGUUCAUUUAAUCAAAUUAAAUAUGAACUCCCACUUAAAUCGACAUCCCUCUAGUCAUCUAAGUGAUACAUGAUCCAUGUUGACUAACCCGUGUCCGAUCAUCACGUGAGACGGACUAGUCACCAUGGUGAGCAACUCCAUGCUGAUCGUAUUCAACCAUACGAAUCAUGUUCGACCUUUCGGUCUCUUGUAUUCGAGGUCAUGUCUGUACAUGCUAAGCUCGUCGAGUCAACCUNNNNNNNNNNNNNNNNNNNNNNNNNNNNNNNNNNNNNNNNNNNNNNNNNNNNNNNNNNNNNNNNNNNNNNNNNNNNNNNNNNNNNNNNNNNNNNNNNNNNGCGGAGACUGGCCAAGGACGAGGUGACGAUGCGCGUCGGGAAUGGUUCAAAGGUCGAUGUGAUCGCCGUCAGCACGCUGCCUCUACAUCUACCGUCGGGAUUAGUUUUAAACCUUAAUAAUUGUUAUUUAGUACCAGCUUUAAGCAUGAACAUUGUAUCAGGGUCUUGCUUAAUGCGAGACGGCUACUCAUUUAAGUCAGAGAAUAAUGGUUGUUCUAUUUAUAUGAGUGAUAUGUUUUAUGGUCAUGCUCCGCUGGUGAAUGGUUUAUUCUUGAUGAAUCUCGAUCGUGAUGUUACACAUAUUCAUAGUGUGAGUACCAAAAGAUGCAAAGUUGAUAAUGAUACUCCCACAUACUUGUGGCACUGCCGCCUUGGUCAUAUCGGCGUUAAGCGCAUGAAGAAGCUCCAUACUGAUGGACUAUUAGAGUCUCUUGACUUUGAAUCAUUUGACACAUGCGAACCGUGCCUCAUGGGCAAGAUGACUAAGACUCCAUUCUCAGGAAUAAUGGAGAGAGCAACCGACUUAUUGGAAAUAAUACAUAUUGAUGUGUGUGGUCCAAUGAACGUUGAAGCUCGCGGUGGUUAUCGUUAUGUUCUCACUCUCACCGAUGAUUUGAGUAGGUAUGGGUAUAUCUACUUGAUGAAGCACAAAUCUGAGACGUUUGAAAAGUUCAAGGAAUUUCAGAGUGAGGUUGAGAAUCAACGUGACAGAAAAAUUAAAUGUCUACGAUCUGAUCGUGGAGGAGAAUAUUUGAGUCACGAGUUUGGCACACACCUAAGGAAGUGUGGAAUCGUUUCACAACUGACGCCGCCUGGCACACCGCAGCGCAACGGAGUGUCUGAACGUCGUAAUCGCACUUUAUUAGAUAUGGUACGAUCUAUGAUGUCUCUCACCGACUUACCGCUAUCAUUUUGGGGAUACGCAUUAGAAACUGCAGCAUUCACUUUAAAUAGGGCACCGUCUAAAUCCGUUGAGACGACACCGUAUGAACUAUGGUUUGGCAAGAAACCUAAGUUGUCGUUUCUUAAAGUUUGGGGCUGCGAUGCUUAUGUGAAGAAACUUCAACUAGAAAAGCUCCAACCCAAAGAGGAGAAAUGCGUAUUCAUAGGAUACCCUAAGGAAACUAUUGGGUAUACCUUCUAUCUUAGAUCCGAAGGUAAAACCUUUGUUGCCAAGAACGGAUCCUUUCUAGAGAAAGAGUUUCUCUCGAAAGAAGUAAGUGGGAGGAAGGUAAAACUUGAUGAGGUAAUUGCACCCCCUCUCGAACAGGAAAGUAGCGCAGCGCGGGAAGUUGUUCCUGUGGCGCCUAUACCGAAUGAAGAGGAAGUUAAUGAUGAUGAUCAUGAAGCUUCGGAUCAAGUUACUACUGAACCGCGAAGGUCCACAAGGGCACGCUCCGCACCAGAGUGGUACGGCAACCCUGUGAUGGAAAUCAUGUUGUUAGACAAUGGUGAGCCUUCGAACUAUGAAGAAGCAAUGGCGGGCCCGGAUUCCAACAAAUGGCUUGAGGCUAUGAAAUCCGAGAUAGGAUCCAUGUAUGAGAACAAAGUAUGGACUUUGGUGGACUUGCCCGAUGACCGGCGAGCCAUAGAAAAUAAAUGGAUCUUCAAGAAGAAGACUGAUGCAAACGGUAAUGUAACCGUUUACAAAGCUCGACUUGUCGCAAAGGGUUUUCGACAAAUUCAAGGAGUUGACUACGAAGAGGCUUUCUCUCCCGUAGCGAAGCUGAAAUCAGUUCGAAUCAUGUUAGCAAUUGCCGCCUUUUAUGAUUAUGAAAUUUGGGAAAUGGACGUCAAAACAGCGUUCCUUAACGGGAACCUUAAGGAAGAGUUGUAUAUGAUGCAACCAGAAGGUUUUGUCGACCCUAAGGGUGCUAACAAAGUGUGCAAGCUCCAGCGCUCCAUCUAUGGGCUGGUGCAAGCAUCUCGGAGUUGGAACAUUCGCUUUAAUGAGGUAAUUAAAGCGUUUGGGUUCAUACAGGUUUACGGAGAAACCUGUCUGUACAAGAAAGUGAGUGGGAGCUCUGUAGCUUUCCUCAUACUAUAUGUGGAUGACAUAUUAUUGAUGGGGAAUAAUAUAGAGAUGUUGGAGAGCAUAAAGGCCUAUUUGAACAAGAGUUUUUCAAUGAAGGACCUUGGAGAAGCUGCAUACAUAUUAGGCAUCAAGAUCUAUAGAGAUAGAUCGAGACGCCUCAUAGGUCUUUCGUAAAGUACAUACCUUGACAAGAUAUUGAAGAAGUUCAAUAUGGAAAACUCAAAGAAAGGGUCAUUGCCAGUUUUGCAAGGUAUGAGAUUGAGUAAGACUCAGUCGCCGACCACGGCAGUAGAUAGAGAGAAGAUGAGUUAUGUCCCCUACGCUUCAGCCGUGGGCUCUCUAAUGUAUGCCAUGUUGUGUACCAGACCUGAUAUAAACCUUGCCAUAAGUUUGGUAGGGAGGUACCAAAGUAAUCCCGGUACGGAACACUCGACAGCGGUCAAGAAUAUCCUUAAGUACCUGAAAAGGACUAAGGAAAUAUUUCUCGUUUAUGGAGGUGACGAAGAGCUCGUCGUAAAGGGUUACGUCGACGCUAGCUUCGACAUAGAUCCGGAUGACUCUAAGUCACAGACCGGAUACGUAUAUGUGUUGAAUGGUGGGGCAGUGAGCUGGUGCAACAGCAAGCAAGAAGUCGUGGCAGCAUCUACAUGUGAAGCGGAGUACAUAGCUGCUUCAGAAGCGGCUCAUGAAGGAAUUUGGAUGAAGGAGCUCAUCACUGACCUUGGAGUGGUUCCAAGCGCGUCGGGUCCCAUGACACUCUUCUGUGAUAACACUGGAGCCAUUGCCAUAGCCAAGGAGCCCAGGUUUCACUGAAAGACGAAGCACAUCAAGCGCCGCUACAACUCCAUCCAGGACCAUGUCCAGAGUGGAGUGAUAGAUAUUUGUAAAGUACACACGGAUCUGAAUAUUGCAGACCCGUUGACUAAACCUCUUCCACGAGCAAAACAUGAUCAACACCAUAAUGCUAUGGGUGUUCGAUACAUCACAAUGUAACUAGAUUAUUGACUCUAGUGCAAGUGGGAGACUGUUGGAAAUAUGCCCUAGAGGCAAUAAUAAAAUGGUUAUUAUCAUAUUUCCUCGUUCAUGAUAAUCGUCUAUUGUUCAUGCUAUAAUUGUAUUAACAGGAAACAGUAAUACAUGUGUGAAUAAAUAGAUCACAAUGUGUCCCUAGGAAGCCUCUAGUUGGCUAGCUCGUUAGUCAAUAGAUGAUCAUGGUUUCCUGAUCAUGGGCAUUAGAUGUCAUUGAUAACGGGAUCACAUCAGUGGGAGAAUGAUGUGAUGGACAAGACCCAAUCCUAAGCCUAGCACUAGAUCGUAUUGUUCGUAUGCUAAUGCUUUUCUAAUGUCAAGUAUCUUUUCCUUCGACCGUGAGAUUGUGCAACUCCCAGAUGCCGUAGGAGUGCUUUGGGUGUAUCAAACGUCACAACGUAACUGGGUGACUAUAAAGGUGCACUACGGGUAGGGGGGGGGGGGGGGGUUGGGUUGGUACGAAUCGAGAUCGGGAUUUGUCACUCCGUGUGACGGAGAGGUAUCUCUGGGCCCACUCGGUAGAACAUCAUCAUGAGCUCAAUGUGACUAAGGAGUUAGUCACACGAUGAUGUGCUACGGAACGAGUAAAGAGACUUACCGGUAACGAGAUUGAACAAGGUAUAGGUAUACCGACGAUCGAAUCUCGGGCAAGUUCUAUACCGACAGACANNNNNNNNNNNNNNNNNNNNNNNNNNNNNNNNNNNNNNNNNNNNNNNNNNNNNNNNNNNNNNNNNNNNNNNNNNNNNNNNNNNNNNNNNNNNNNNNNNNNGGGGGGGGGGGAGGGUGUUAGAUUUGUAUUGCCCCUUUUUUGUAUAUCCCCAUUAUAUAAGGGGUUUCUACCACUUUUACCAUAUGUAUAUAUAUUGGCCUUUGGCCCCUGUGAAUAUUUGCUCAUUAUCUAACAGAUCCAACACAAGGUUGGGUCGAAGCUAGUUUAUAUCUGGGACGUUACACCAACCUCUCAAGCCAAUCCAACAUUGCAGACAGAUUUAUGAUACACUUCCUUUUCACGAGCCCGAGGCAAUGUACCUAUGUCAAAAAAAGUAGGAGUUCGAGGCAAUGUACCUAAUACAAACUGUGAAGCCUUCCCACCUAGGCUAUACAUGAGGUCCUUGAGAUGCUCUAUAAGAUAUCGGUUAAAAGAGAAAACGUCCAAAAUAAGAGAAAUAUAACUAUAUUUUUUUUGUAUUUGUCGCUUCAAAGGAUCAGUAUGUUGGACAAGAAGAGAAGCACUGAAGUAGCAUCACUCAUCAUCAAGGUCAAAAUCGUUGUCCGAUGCGCACUCGAGAUAUGAACCAAUCGACUUGCGGAAGAUGAUGAAAGACUUGUCAUCCUGUGAAAAAAGAAUGCAUUAUUUUGCAGGAAGAGGUGUUUCAAGCCAUGGAACAAAAAAAACUGGCUGGUCAUUCAGCUUUAGGCCUGACGGGUAGCUAAAAAUGAAGUCUAAGAAAUGCAAGCAGUUGUGAAUUUUGCCACACCUGCUUCAUCCUUUUCAGUGAUGGUUUGGCAUUUGUUAUCUUAUCUGAUAAGGUGUCACCAUGUUCUGACAAUGUAGCCGUCUCCUCCCCUGUUUGAAGGAUUUGAGUGUAAGAGCAGCAUAUUUCCAUCCAAGGGAAAUAAUGAAUCCUCUAGCUACUUACUUUGAUAUUCAUACUGCUCAAGCAGUUUCUUUUUCUCAACUUCAAUUUGUGAGGAUAGAUCUGCAUAAUAGGACAUGUAACAAGUCAAAUAAGAGCCAAAUAUUUUUGCAGAUUCAAUGAGAUCUGAACGUCUUUUAUGGGAACAUCAUCCAAAUAAUGCUGAGUCGCUAAUAAGCAGUAGCCAAGCAAUGCAUAUUUAGAAACAACACACAUAAUUUGAAUACAAGUGUCAUGUAGAUUCUAUUUGCAUCAAAACCAGGUAUCUCAAUAUUUUUUCUAAAGAUAAGAAUCACAGCUCAUACGUAGUAGCCGAUUACACCAAAUGAGAAACAACCAUCACACGUCACAAUGCCCUAAAAUCCUAGAUAGACCUGGAUAGAAGCACAUGAUAUACUUGUGAAAAUGACAACCAGCUCUUAUUUGACAUACCUUUGAAGGUUUGUAAGUGUGCAUCAUUUUCUUCGCAGAACAUUUCAUAUGUUUCCUGAAGCUUGGUGUACUCUUCGUUCAAUGAACUUUCACACUGCUAAUAGUGCAAAUUACACGCCAUAAUUCAAUCUUAGGCAAAUCAGCAAGUAAGUCGACAAUUCCAAAGAAUUGUAAACUGUGUACCUCUUUCGAAGUGCUUGACAGUACUUUCAGCAAAUUCUGCCUGCACAUGCAAAUAUAACAGUGACACUACGUUCUAAAUAAAAACGAACAAGCUUCCUUUUCUGACAGAACUGGUUUCAGGCGUAAUUGUUCAUGCAGGCAUCGUUUCACAGUUCACAAGCAAGUGAGUUACCUUUCCUUCUCAAACUUGGACUUGGUAUCUUCAAGCAUAGUCUGAAUAUUGGCUGCAACACUGUCAGGUUUAGAAAAGUAAAGGAAUAAACAGGGUAAGAAGAAGGUAAAAGAAUAAUGAUCAGCAACAUUAUGCGCUUCAAACUUCACAGUUCAGUCAGCGGAGUCCCUGUUAGUCCACAUGUUAUAAUUUUCGGCUUCUUUUCCUCCCCGAUGCCUGUGUAAAUAAUUCUUUGUAAUAGUUCUGAGAAGUUUAUAGAAAUGUUCAGGCUGGCUUUGCCGGCCGUAGUUCUGAAAAUCAACUCACCCGAACAAAGCCACACCAUGACAUAAGUACAAAACAUGAAUCCGGGAACCCAUCAAAUUAAUAUGUCCAUUUUCCUCGCAUCACUCACAAUGCAUAUCGCUCCGCAUAAUAUACAAAAACUGACAUAUCACCGAACGAACCUAGUUCCUGCAUUAAUCACAGAAACAGCCGAGUGGACGCAUUGCAGGAUUGCAAACGUGCAACAUUUAUUUGUAUCCCUCCCAGUGACCAUGAACUGUAAGUUUUCCACACAAAUCCGCCAGCACGAAAUGCAUCAUAAGAAGCUGCUAGGAUAGCAUACGCCGAUCCCAAUUUUUUUGCACGCUAGCACAUAGCGAGAUAAGAGAAAAUUUAGAGGUGCAAGUGCAACCGAAAGAACACUGUUCUCCGCACCUGGCGAUGAUCUGCUCGCACAUCUUCUGGCCAGCCUUGUUGGUCCCGCCCUUGAUCAACCGCAGCAGGCACGCGAUCUGCCUCAAGUCGCUGCGCCCGCCACAAAAGUAGCCAUCACGGAGUUAAAGCGAGAAGGAAUUAGAAACGGGAGACACCGAAUCGAAGAGGAAAAGCUCGAAAUCAGAUGUGCGGCACCUGACGAAAUCGCCGUCAGAUUCCGAGCCGGAGCUGGAGCCGGAAUCGGAACCGGAGCCGAAAUCCACGGGGUGGCGCGGCCUCUUCGACGACCGCAGAGCCUCUUCACCCAGGGACAUCCUCCUUCCGCCGCCGGGACUCGCCGCGGGCCGCAUCGCUGGUCGACGAGCGUAGUGCAGCGCAAUUCGAAAUUUGGAGGGGGAGCGAGAGGGUAGUGAUGUAAUACUGGCAAAAUUUUGGUGGCCCACUCACAGUAUUGGCUUUUGUAAGGGAAAGUGUUCGUGCGCGCAAGGCUACGAGCAACUAGUUCCUCCUCUUGUAAUUUUUUUUUCCUUCGACGCGUCCGUUGAAGUGUUCGGCCGGUCGCGUUCCUUCCUCACGUUUUUCUUCCACCUUUUCCUUUUCCCCUCCCGCGCACACUCGGAUUUUUUCACUGUUUUAACCUUUUUUCUAAANNNNNNCACAAAAUGAACCAGAUUUGAAACCAUUUCACGAUCUGACCCUUUUAAAAACGCCACAAGCCGUGGCGUUGCUNNNNNNNNNNNNNNNNNNNNNNNNNNNNNNNNNNNNNNNNNNNNNNNNNNNNNNNNNNNNNNNNNNNNNNNNNNNNNNNNNNNNNNNNNNNNNNNNNNNNUGGACAAGAAUACAUGGAGUUACUCAAGCCAUUGAAUCAUUUGACUUUGUUUUCAAUCUUCACUUGAUGCUUGUUAUUCUUGGCUAUACAAAUGAGUUGUCCAAAUCUUUGCAAAAGAGAGAUCAAGAUACUAUUAAUGCAGUGGCACUUGUUAGUUUGGCAAAGAGUAGAAUGCGACACAUGAGGUGUCAUGGUUAGGAAGAAUUUCUUGCAAAGCUAACCCUAUUUUGCCAGAAACAUGACAUUCAAGUUCCUUUGUGGGAGGAUACUUAUGCAGGGGCAGAAUUAGCAUGGGUUCACGUCUAGGGCCAAAUUAGCUUCAGUGGUGUAUUUUAGAGAUUUUUUGUACUUAGUAAGUAGGUAUUACAAAGACUAUUGUCACUACACCUAGGGCUAUAGCCCCAUUUUCCCUAGGCCUGAUUCCAACAUUGUACUUAUGAGCAUCAUGGAAUAUCACGUUGGUAUAAUGAAGUUCAAACAAAUGAUGAUCGUUAUAAAAGAGAAGUAUAUCUUGGUGUCAUUGAUCAAACCAUUCUAUCCCAUGGACAUAUCAAGCACGGAUUUGAUAAGGCUAGAAUUUCAACUUGCUACUUUUAUUGAUGAUACGAGACAAGAUGAUAUUGGUGAGCUCUCUAUUUUACUUGUUGCAACAAAGAAUCAUAUUCUCUAUGAUUUGGUCUACUUACUCAUCAAAUUGAUAUUGAUUUUACCGAUGGCAACAACGAGUGUUGAAAGGGUAUUUUCUGCAAUGAAUCUAGUGAAAAAUAAAUUAAGGACUAGUAUGGGUGAUGAUCGUUUGGUGACAAUUAUUAAGCGAGAUGUGUUCAUGAAAGUAAAUGAAGAUGACAUAGUUGAUGCUUUCAUGACAAUGCAACGACGUAGAGUUACCUAGUGUUGUAAUUUUCUACUUCUGUUACUUUCAUGUAAGUCUUUUCUAUUGUAACUGGGCACAUUUGAAAUACAUUUUAUGUACUAAAUGGUUGUGAGAUUUCAAUUGAGCUAUUUAUGUUACUCAUUUGACAUAUUUUGAUACAUUUGGAUUAGGUAGGAAAAAAAUAGAGUGCGCAUGCCCUUUAUUUUAUUCCUGGGUACCCACACAAUGGAACGCAAAAAUAUCCAGCCGAGCGAGCAGUAAAUCCACCAUACGGGAUGUGCAUACUUAAUACUCCUACAUUGCAACAAAUAAUCGUGAAAAAAAAUGGAAAAAGAAACCAUAUGCGAUCAGGCACAUGACGAAGGAAGGGUCACAUGAAUGAAGAAGAGAGAAAAGCCACAUAUCGACCCGAAUAGCGAAGUGUGGGAGCCGCGAUGGCGGGCACUGGCAGCCAUACAUUGGGCUAUCCAAAAUCUCAUCUCUCGCCCAAUCCCGGCCUCACGAUCUCAAUUCUCACCCCGCGUGCACCACAAGCUCCAAUCCCCUAACUCGUAUAUACAGCCACGCCCGCCUCACCGUCCUUGAUCUUCCCCCCUAUCUGAUCGGAUCCUUUGGACAUGGCGUCGCCCAUGCUCUCCACGGCCAUGGCGCCACUCCAGGUAUUGCUCGUGUUCCAUUUCCAUUCCAUGCUUGCGUAGUAGUACAGUUCUUCCAUGUUUGUGACGCGCGGUGGUUAUGUAACUGGACUGCCAUGCAUCCUCUGUCGAUCCAGGGGGGCAUGCUGGAGUUCUCCGGGCUGAGGAGCUCGUCGUCGCUGCCGCUCCGGCGGAAUGCCACCUCCGACGACUUCAUGUCCGCCGUCUCCUUCAGGACAUACGCGGUAUGAUAUGAAUAUGAUGGGCGGAAUGUGGCUGUCACCUAGGAGUACGUAGCUCGCUUGGUCGCAUGCCAUGAGACAUGAGCGGCGCGUGGUACGGUGGUUGCAGGUGAGCACGAGCGGCGGGUCGCGGAAGGCGCCGACGGAGGCGAAGCUCAAGGUGGCGAUCAACGGGUUCGGGCGCAUCGGGCGCAACUUCCUGCGGUGCUGGCACGGGCGCGGCGACAGCUCGCCGCUGGAGGUGAUCGCCAUCAACGACACCGGAGGCGUGAAGCAGGCGUCCCACCUCCUCAAGUACGACUCCACGCUGGGCAUCUUCGACGCGGACGUCAAGCCCGUGGGCGACAACGCCAUCUCCGUCGACGGCAAGGUGAUCAAGGUCGUGUCCGACCGCAACCCCUCCAACCUGCCGUGGGGCGAGAUGGGCAUCGACCUCGUCAUCGAGGGCACCGGCGUCUUCGUCGACCGCGCCGGCGCGGGCAAGCAUCUCGAGGCCGGAGCCAAGAAGGUGCUCAUCACCGCGCCCGGCAAGGGCGACAUCCCCACCUACGUCUGCGGCGUCAACGCCGACCUCUACACCCACGCCGACACCAUCAUCAGCAACGCCUCAUGCACCACCAACUGCCUCGCCCCCUUCGUCAAGGUCCUCGACCAAAAGUUCGGUACGUGCCCGUCUCCCUCCCUCUCUCUCUCUCUCAACUGAAUCAACUUGUUGACGAUGACUAAUGGCGGCGGUGGCAAUGGCGCAGGCAUCAUCAAGGGAACCAUGACCACAACCCACUCGUACACCGGCGACCAGAGGCUGCUCGACGCGAGCCACCGCGACCUGCGCCGUGCCCGCGCCGCCGCCCUCAACAUAGUGCCGACCUCCACCGGCGCGGCCAAGGCCGUGGCGCUGGUGCUCCCCAACCUCAAGGGCAAGCUCAACGGGAUCGCGCUCCGGGUGCCCACCCCCAACGUGUCCGUCGUCGACCUCGUGGUGCAGGUCUCCAAGAAGACCCUCGCCGAGGAGGUGAACCAGGCGUUCCGCGACGCCGCCGCCAACGAGCUCAAGGGCAUCCUCGACGUCUGCGACGAGCCCCUCGUGUCCGUCGACUUCAGGUGCUCCGACGUCUCCUCCACCAUCGACGCGUCGCUCAGCAUGGUCAUGGGAGACGACAUGGUCAAGGUCAUUGCAUGGUACGACAACGAGUGGGGUUACUCCCAGAGGGUCGUCGACCUCGCCGACAUCGUCGCCAACCAAUGGAAGUGAACGCCCCCCCACAGCGGCAUUGCCCUGUCAAGUGACUCCUCUCGAAAUUUUCCCCAGCCGUCGUCACGGAUGAUCGAUUCUUUGUAAUGAGAAUUCAAAGUAUCGAGCUCCCAACAC